rnacentral:rRNA from 1 species
CCUACGGGAGGCAGCAGUGAGGAAUAUUGGUCAAUGGCCGGAAGGCUGAACCAGCCAAGCCGCGUGAAGGACGAAGGUGCCAAGCAUUGUAAACUUCUUUUGUCAAGGGACAAAAUCAGGCUCGAGAGCCUGACCGAGGGUACUUGAAGAACAAGCAUCGGCAAACUCCGUGCCAGCAGCCGCGGUAAUACGGAGGAUGCGAGCGUUAUACGGAUUUAGUGGGUUUAAAGGGUGCGUAGGCGGGCUGUUAAGUCAGCGGUAAAAGCCCGGGGUUAAACCCCGGCGAGCCGUUGAAACUGGCUGUCUUGAGAUGUCGAGAGGUAUGCGGAAUGCGCAGUGUAGCGGUGAAAUGCUUAGAUAUGGCGCAGAACUCCGAUUGCGAAGGCAGCAUACCGGCGGCGAUCUGACGCUGAGGCACGAAAGCGUGGGUAUCGAACAGGAUUAGAUACCCCUGUAGUC